UGAACUAAGCAUAUCAAUAAGCGGAGGAAAAGAAACCAACAGGGAUUGCCUUAGUAACUGCGAGUGAAGCGGCAAAAGCUCAGAUUUGAAACCUGUCGCCUCUGGCGAUCGGAUUGUAAUCUGGAGAGUCGUCUUCUGGCGGGCAGCCGGUCCAAGUUCCUUGGAACAGGACGUCGGAGAGGGUGAGAAUCCCGUAUCUGGCCGGCUUGUUCUGCCUUGUGAAGUGACUUCGACGAGUCGAGUUGUUUGGGAAUGCAGCUCAAAAUGGGUGGUAAAUUUCAUCUAAAGCUAAAUAUUGGCGAGAGACCGAUAGCGCACAAGUAGAGUGAUCGAAAGAUGAAAAGCACUUUGAAAAGAGAGUCAAAAAGUACGUGAAAUUGUUGAAAGGGAAGCGCUUGAGACCAGACUCGGGUUGGGGUGAUCAGCGGUGCUUCUGUGCCGUGCACUUGCCUCCUCCCGGGCCAGCAUCGGUUGUGGCGACGGGAUAAAGACUCGAGGAAUGUGGCUCCCUCACGGGAGUGUUAUAGCCUCGGGUGUAAUGCCGCCAGCCGCGACCGAGGACCGCGCUUCGGCUAGGAUGCUGGCAUAAUGGUCUUCAGCGACCCGUCUUGAAACACGGACCAAGGAGUCUAACAUCUAUGCGAGUGUUCGGGUGUAAAACCCCUGCGCGUAAUGAAAGUGAACGGAGGUGGGAGCCCUUCACGGGGCGCACCAUCGACCGAUCCUGAUGUCUUCGGAUGGAUUUGAGUAGGAGCAUAGCUGUUGGGACCCGAAAGAUGGUGAACUAUGCCUGAAUAGGGUGAAGCCAGAGGAAACUCUGGUGGAGGCUCGCAGCGGUUCUGACGUGCAAAUCGAUCGUCAAAUUUGGGUAUAGGGGCGAAAGACUAAUCGAACCAUCUAGUAGCUGGUUCCUGCCGAAGUUUCCCUCAGGAA
rnacentral:rRNA from 1 species